ACGCUCGACACCUACAGGCAGCAGUUGGGAAUAUUGGACAAUGGAGGAAACUCUGAUCCAGUGACGCCGCGUGAAGGAAGAAGGUCUUCGGAUUGUAAACUUAUUUUGUCAGGGAAGAAAAAAUGACUGUACCUGAAGAAAAAGCACCGGCUAACUACGUGCCAGCAGCCGCGGUAAUCUGAGCGGGCUGGCAAGGC
rnacentral:rRNA from 1 species